GGUCCUGUAGCUCAGUAGGAUAGAGCGCAAGAUUCCUAAUCUUGAGGCCACUGGUUCGAAUCCAGUCGGGAUCACCA
rnacentral:tRNA from 6 species